rnacentral:rRNA from 1 species
GGGCCCGCACAAGCGGUGGAGCAUGUGGUUUAAUUCGACGCAACGCGAAGAACCUUACCCAGGCUUGAACUGCAGAUGACAUCCUACGAAAGUAGGCUUCCGCAAGGACGUCUGUAGAGGUGCUGCAUGGCUGUCGUCAGCUCGUGUCGUGAGAUGUUGGGUUAAGUCCCGCAACGAGCGCAACCCUUGUCUUCUGUUGCCAUCGGGUUAUGCCGGGCACUCUGAAGAGACUGCCGGUGACAAACCGGAGGAAGGUGGGGAUGACGUCAAGUCAGCAUGGCCUUUAUGUCUGGGGCCACACACGUGCUACAAUGGCCGGUACAAACCGUCGCGAUCCCGUGAGGGGGAGCUAAUCGGAGAAAGCCGGUCUCAGUUCGGAUUGUAGGCUGCAACUCGCCUGCAUGAAGUUGGAAUCGCUAGUAAUCGCGGAUCAGCACGCCGCGGUGAAUACGUUCCCGGGCCUU